UACGUAGGGGGCUAGCGUUAUCCGGAAUUACUGGGCGUAAAGGGUGCGUAGGUGGUUUCUUAAGUCAGAGGUGAAAGGCUACGGCUCAACCGUAGUAAGCCUUUGAAACUGGGAAACUUGAGUGCAGGAGAGGAGAGUGGAAUUCCUAGUGUAGCGGUGAAAUGCGUAGAUAUUAGGAGGAACACCAGUUGCGAAGGCGGCUCUCUGGACUGUAACUGACACUGAGGCACGAAAGCGUGGGAGCAAACAGG
rnacentral:rRNA from 1 species